rnacentral:piRNA from 1 species
UUAUAAACCUUUACAACCUUG